CAAUGUCUCCAUCUCCCACUCUCUAUAAAGAAUUUUAUCUCGAGACACAGAUGGCUGAAUCUCUCUGAGGUUCAAUUCUUGGACUUUGAUGAUGCAGAAUCCCGAUGACUUGUGGUGAGAGGCAGAAAAGAGAGGAAGCCAAGACCACUGUUUCCACCUCUCCACAACUUCUUUGCUCAAGCCACCUGGCUUUUUGGACCUGAAUAGAUUUCUCCUCUCCGUUUGGAAAUCACGUUAUUGCUAUCUACACAUUGUCACCAAAACCAAUUUGUGCAAACUAACAGGCUUAUCAGCGCUGCGGAAAUGAGAUUAAAACUGCUUCCAAUGAAACAGAUAAAAACCAGAUGAAUGAAGCCCUCUAAUAAGACAUUAAAGAUAAUGACAAGAAUGAUUAACUAGUGUGAUAUAUUGAGCAGUUAUGAGGAGUUGGAUGCCCAGGAUCAGCAAACUAAUAAAAAAAAGAAUCUACC